UAACUUCUUUUCUUUUUCGUUACUUGCAGUCUGUGGCUUUAACUGCUGCUCCCUUCUUUGUCAUUGCGGCUAUCUGGUUUGUGGUCUUUGGACUGUGCUUAUCUUUCAUCUGUCUCUGCUAUUUCUGUUGUAGAAGGGAGCCUUAUGGCUAUUCUCGAACAGCUUAUGCCCUCUCUCUUAUUUUCCUCGUACUCUUCACCGUUGCUGCAAUAGUUGGAUGUGUUGUUCUGUACACUGGACAGGGGAAGUUUCAUGAUAU